rnacentral:rRNA from 1 species
AUGGCUGGAAAAGGACGCUAUGUUCCGCCGCAGUAUGUUCCGUUAUAUGGUCUAGACACUGAGGAGGAUAGUGUUCCUGAGGUGGAGGAGAACAUUGCCACGCGCCAAAGAUUAAGCCGGGAUCCUACACAAUGGUCUUCAGGCAUUUGUGCUUGUUUUGAUGAUCCACAGAGCUGUUGUAUUGGUGCGACUUGCCCCUGCUUUCUCUUUGGAAAAAAUGCACAGUUCUUGGGAUCUGGAACUCUCGCUGGAUCAUGCACCACACAUUGCAUGCUUUGGGGCCUUCUGACAAGUUUCUGCUGUCUGUGUACUGGGGGGCUUGUAUUAGCAGUUCCAGGGUCUGCUGUUGCUUGUUAUGCUUGUGGAUACCGCCAAGCACUAAGAACGAAGUACAACCUUCCGGAAGCACCAUGCGGUGAUUUGACGACACACUUAUUCUGCCAUCUGUGUGCGAUAUGCCAAGAGUACAGGGAGAUCCGCGAGAGAACAGACACUGGCACCUCUUCAGCUCCUGAUGUUACCCCACCUCCGGUGCAGACAAUGGAUGACCUUUGA